rnacentral:lncRNA from 15 species
UUACAAUGAAACACAUAAUAAUAUUUACGUUUAAUUCCUUUUUUUUCAGAUUCACCCAAACACACCACAGUGUCAGUCAGUCCCUCUGGUCCAGUACCAGAAGACAGCAAUGUGACUCUGACAUGCAGUAGUACUGCCAACCCAGCAGUAAGGAACUACACCUGGUACAGAGCUGAUGGAGGCCAGGAGACUUUUAUUGGGACCGGACCUGUUUUAAACAUUAAAGCUUCUGAAGUCAGUGGUCCUUUUUUCUGCAAGGCUGAAAAUGAUCUUGGAGCUGGACGAUCCAACAUCAGUCAAAUAGAUGUUCAGUAUUCACCCAAACACACCACAGUGUCAGUCAGUCCUUCUGGUCCAGUACCAGAAGACAGCACUGUGACUCUGACAUGCAGUAGUACUGCCAACCCAGGAGUAAGGAACUACACCUGGUACAGAGCUGGUGGAGGCCAGGAGACUUUUAUUGGGACCGGA